rnacentral:misc_RNA from 1 species
AUCUGUUUUUGCUUCCCCUCUGCCAUCUUUAUCUUUUAGGGUUUCAAUUCUUUUUCACUUUUUUCUUCUGGUUUGGAGAUGGUUAGGUUCCAACUAAGUAUACGAGAUUAAAUUUGACAUCUUAGUUACUUCAAAAUUCCUUCAAUCAAAACAAGUCAUCUCGACUAUUCCGCCAUGUUUGUAUAUACAUAUUUAUAUAUUAUAUAUAUGAAGGUACGAGUUUCUAGUGUCUAUAAAUUAAGAAGGUUAAGUACCAUAUAGAUGAUAUUUGUUAAGUAGUAAGUCACUCAAAGUUUGAGUUUGGGUUUGAGUUUGAGUUUGAGUUUGAGUUUGAGAGACAAAAGAUUACUACAAGAAGAUUGUUAAACAAAAAUGGAAGACUAAUUUCCGGAGCCACG